CACUGCUCUGCACUUCCGCUGCUGCUCCAACUGAGUCCCUCCUCCCCUGCCUCCUUCCCUCCCACCUUCCUUCCCUCCUUCCCUCCCUCCCUCUUGUCUUCCCUCUCCUAACCAUAGCCUGGCCCCGCUUGCCCCAUCUUCAACCCCCAUGCUUUCCACAGGGCUGCGCUGGAGAGAGAGAGAAGAUCGCACCGCUUGGGCUCACUGGAAGCUCUUGCUGUCUGUCUGUCUGUCUGUCUGUCUGUUUGCUCCCGCUGGCUAUCAAGGGUGUGAGGACAGUCUGCCCUCCAUCGCCAUCCUCAGGUGGAGAGAAUAGAAACUGAGAAGCAGAGGAGAACGUGAAGCCGUGAAGCCAGAGCGGAGCGUGGGGAGCACCAAAGAUAACCGCAGGCGACGAGACCGCGUGAUCUGACUGAGGUUUCCAGGAAAGCGCAGGGGAUGAGACGCCGCCGCCGCGGAGAGAGAUGGUAUCUGGUAAGCACACCGGAACACCGACCGGAGGAACUUCUCUUCCAGGCACAGAGGACCGGCACCUCCCUAAAUCACAGGUGCCCACUGAGCUUCUCUUCAGCAAAGGAAGUGAGUGCCUGCCUGCGGCCCUGCUGACGACCACUGCCUGGUCAUUUACUCUACAACCACAAAGGGAAACACAAGGCAUACAAUUUCCUUUGAAAGGCGGUUCUUUCUACUUUAUAUUUUGCUUGUGGAGUUUUUUCCUGUUUUCGGUGGUUUGUUUUGUUUUUUAUUUUAAACACGUCCCACUGGAACUAGGUACGCCAUGCUGGCCUAGAACCUGCAGCAAUUCUGCUUCUGGCUCCCAAGUGUUGAACUAGAGGCAUAUACUUCCACGCCCAGUGGCGAAGGUAACCAAAACUGAAGAACAGAUUAUGUCUCUCAGUGAGCUUCUCUGAAUCCCCUUUAGAUUUUUAAAACAACUUUCUGCCAGUUGUGGAGGCGUACGCUUGUAGUCCCAGCGCUAAAGAGGCAGAGGUAGGUGGAAGUUUAUGAGGUCAGGGCCAGUGUUGUCUAUAUAAAUAAUUCCAGGCAGCCAGGGCUACACACACACACACACACACACACACACACACACGCACGCACGCACGCACGCACGCACACGCGCACACACACACCAAAGAAAGAAAGAAAACAACUUUUCACCUGGAGAUUAUUAGAUUAGUCUUAGUUCCAACAACUGCGCAAGAAUCUGAACAUUGUUGAAACAAAAACACAAUUCUCACAUCAACAAGGAUCAGAGGAAAUUUAUUCUGAAGCCAAAUGUUAAGUGACUAUGGCCCAAGAACAGACUCAGGGUACCCCAAAGUCCAUGUCCAAUGUGGUAACGGGUUGAUUUUAGAUUUCUGGGGCAGUGGGAAGAGACAGAACACAGAAAGAGACCAGAGUCUAACUUAACAGUUACAAAGUUUUUAUUAGUGCACACAGGGAGGGGCAGUGUCUCUCCCCUAGGAAAUGCAGGGCCUGUAGAAUAAAGGUUAGCUCGGUGCAUUGUGGGGGAGGUGGGAGUGUUAGGAAUGAGGAAGUUGUUAGAACUCAGGGGUCUGCUUGAGGUCUCCUUCCUGAAACUGUCCGCCCAAGGCAAGACAGACCAUCCUGAGAGACCGGCUGUCUCAGCCGACAUUCCUUUCUGGACUGACAGAUAAUGGUUGAGCAAGGUCACUGUGGUCUCAUAAGAAUUCCUUUUGUAAAACUGAGGUGCUCUAUCAGAUGCUGUUUCUAUGGUAGUUGAAUAAAUAAAAUCAUAAAUCAA